rnacentral:rRNA from 1 species
UACGGGGGGGGGCAAGCGUUGUUCGGAAUUACUGGGCGUAAAGGGCUCGUAGGCGGCCAACUAAGUCAGACGUGAAAUCCCUCGGCUUAACCGGGGAACUGCGUCUGAUACUGGAUGGCUAGAGGUUGGGAGAGGGAUGCGGAAUUCCAGGUGUAGCGGUGAAAUGCGUAGAUAUCUGGAGGAACACCGGUGGCGAAGGCGGCAUCCUGGACCAAUUCUGACGCUGAGGAGCGAAAGCCAGGGGAGCAAACGGG